AAAGACCUUAUGCUUUUGGAGCGGCCGAUGUCUGAUUAGCUAGUUGGUAAGGUAAAGGCUUACCAAGGCGACGAUCAGUAGUUGGUCUGAGAGGACGACCAGCCACACUGGGACUGAGACACGGCCCAGACUCCUACGGGAGGCAGCAGUGGGGAAUUUUGGACAAUGGGCGAAAGCCUGAUCCAGCAAUGCCGCGUGAGUGGAGAAGGCCUUCGGGUUGUAAAGCUCUUUCAGUCGAGAAGAAAAGAUUGUGACUAAUAAUCAUAAUUUAUGACAGUAUCGACAGAAGAAGCACCGGCUAACUACGUGCCAGCAGCCGCGGUAAUACGUAGGGUGCGAGCGUUAAUCGGAAUUACUGGGCGUAAAGGGUGCGCAGGCGGUUCUGCAAGUCAGAUGUGAAAUCCCCGGGCUUAACCUGGGAACU
rnacentral:rRNA from 1 species